AUGAGACUUUCCCCUUCUGCUUCUGAAAGUCGGAUGACCGUAGUCGGUGUCUGGGGUCACGCAAAGGGUAAAUUUCUUUUGACGUUGUCUGACGUUAGCGGCACCAUGUGGGGAUCUAGCAACUCUCUCGGAUACCAGGCAGCAUGCUUCAGAGUCGGAGAGGCUGACCUGGUGAAAAAUCUCUCAGCGACGGGAGUCGUGCUACAAUUCACUGCUGAUUUUCCACCUUCCAAUUCAGAAUUCUUUCCCCAUCUUUUAGAAAGAGCUCUCCGCGAGGCCCAAGACCAGGUUUCUCGUCAACAACCGAGGAGGCAGCGGUGGCGACGAAGGCAGUGAUGAAGCCGGCUUCUCAGUUUCAGCGGAGCUCUGAUUUUUCUGUCCCUCACGGAGCCGCCAGAACACGGCGUGGCUGGGCAGCCAGGUAUGCACAGCUCACCGUCCCCCGGGGCCGCCUUCGGCGCCCGCCAUCUUGAACCCUCGGCUCCCCGCGGCCUCGCCUGUGAGCGCAGCCAGUCCGCUUCCGGCCGUCCACUGCCUCGGCCCCGUCUCUUUUUGUUAGUCUUUCUAGAGGCAUAUCACUUUUAUUGAUCUUUUCAAGAACAUACUUUUUUUGUUUCGUUUCUCUGUUGGUUGUAUGUUUGCAAUUUUAUCAGUUCUCUUCAUUUUUUCUGUCCUUCUACUUGAGUUUAUUUUGCGUCUCUUUUUCUAGGUUCUUAAGUGCUUAGAUUAUUUAUGUGAGAUAUUUUCUCUUUCCUAAUGUAAACAUUUAGUGCUAAAAAUUUCCCUCUCGGUGCUGCUUUUAACUGUGUCCCGCAAAAUUUGAUGUUGUGUGUUCAUUUUUAUCCCAUUCAUCAUUUUUUUUUAAAUUCCUCUUGAGUCCUCUUUGAUCCUUGGAUUAUUGAAAAGGGUGCUCUUUAUUUUCUGGUAAUUCACUUGUUGAAGAUUUCUAGGCACAGUAUGUGGGUUUACUGUUUUUAAUUAUAUUAUCUUCAACUGUUGAUUACAUAGUGAGGAUGGGUUGAAAGGAGACCCAUCUUUAUCAUUGAGGGAGCCCAGAACUUUGUCCGCUAAGUUGUGUUGAUAUGGAAAUCUAUAUGAACCACCCCACCAUAUACACACAGGGGCAGACAACCACACAUAUGCAAGCACACACACAUGCCCAUGGCAUACAUAUACCCACACCUAAUCAGUGGAGCUCAAAUUCUCAUUUUCAAAAAACAAAGCUAAUGGCAGGGACCAUGAUAAAACAACAACAACAAAAAAAAAAAAAAAAAAAACAGGAAAAGGAAGCUGUUUAGGAAGAAAAAAAAAAAAAAAGCACCAAAUCAGCAUCAUAUCUCUGAAAAAAUUAGGUCAAACGAGAAACCUCUAGCGGAAAUAGAGGUAUUUCAGGUUCUGGGUUGCCUGUAGACAAGCUUAAUUUCUUUCAUGUUGGCAGCACCUGCCUUUUUAGUCAGUCUCUCCGCCCCUUCCCACCAUCACUGCCCCUAUCACAACAAGGCCAGUCCAACAAAUUCUGCUUCAGAAAAUCGAAAGGAAAGAAGACAUUACACUGACUACAGCAGUGGAAUGGAAAUUCCAGGAACUAAAGAUUAAGGAUAGAGAGAGCUAUGUCCUGCAAACCAAUUCAAUGUCUGAGCAAUAAUAAUGCCCCUCUCAAAUGACAUGUAAUGAAAACUAUAUGUAUAUUGUAUUUGUAUUUAUAUGUAAUAUAUAUACAUAUAUAAGUAUGUUCAUUCCCCAUCUGAUAACUAUUUCUGUCCUGCAGGUUGUUUAAUUUUCAUUUCUUACAUUUCAAUCUAUCUAACAAUUUAUAUGGUUGUAGCUUUAUAAUACACUGAUAUAUCUGGCAGUGUCUCAGGUCCCUCAGCAGCUAAACUGUGAAACUGAAUCUUUGGGCAGGCUGUUAGUUCCAAAGGUCCAGUGAGGAAGGCAGAUCCACCGCCCCAUAUAAACUAAGGGCACUCAAUCAGUUUAGACCAGGGUUUUUCAACCUCGACACAAUAGCUAUUUUGUUAAUUUUCUUUUGUAGGAGUUUGUCCUGUUUGUCAGCAUCCCUGGCCUCUACCUGCUAGAUGUCAGUAGCUUCCCCAAGCUGUGAUGAGCAAAAAUGGCCACCAGACAUCACAAAAUUGCCCCCAGUGAAAAGCUGCUUGUUUAGACAUGCUUCCUUAUUUCCUGCCCUCAGUGCUGUACAAAGCUGUGAUACUUGAUACCAUAGCAGGUAUCCUGCAGGCAUGAGGAACGAUAUUACAGAGGCACUGAGGCUAGAACAUGAGGUAGAAGGGGCCAUGGUUUUUGAUGACAUUGCCAGAGUACUGCACCAACCCUAGCGUUACCUCCCUAUGGGAAAUUGACAGCUUCCACCACUUAUGCCUCUUUGGUCCUGUGUUUUGUCACUUACAGCCAAGACCAUCCUGGUGAAUCCACUGAUCACCUUACUCCUCUGCUUAAAACCCUUUGCUAGUUCUCCAUUCAGGAUGGAUUCUAGACUUCUGAACUUAGCACCCGAGGGCCUUGGUCUCUGGCUCCUGCUCAUCUCCCACCGCCCUCUCAGCACAUAUCUUCCCCUCUCGGGCCUUAAGUAGAGUCCUCUGACCCAGCCUGGAGACCUCCUGUCCCCUGUGUUUACACUUGCUGGUCCCCGAACGGCGCAUCCUUCUCCUCUGCUCUCUCUCUUCAUCCUACUCCUACCUUUCAAGACUAGCCCAUGUACUGUCCUUCAGGAACUUGUCCCCAAAUCUCCAUGUGGUGGUUUUGAAACAUGGACUCCAAAUUAUUAAUAUUUGACACUCGUUUACUUGAAAGUGGCUGGGCAGGGAUUUCGACCUCGAUGACUUUUUACACUCUGGACGCUGAAGCAGGGUGCCAACUGACUGAUCCAGGGAUGUGUUAUUGGGUGACACGCAAGGCAACCUUCGUGAUAAGGAUGUGCAGUGCGUGAGAUGAGCUAGUCAGACCUGCAGGCAUUGGGCAACCCCAGUCAACCCAAGACUCUGAUGCUGCUCAUCUUUCCAGCCUCAAACCCUGGCAGUCUAUCACUUCCACCACACCUCUCUCUCAGUGUGAAUCAUUGGGAGGCUCAGAAUGUGCCCUAUUGCAUAAGUGUUCCCCUAUACCUGGCAUUCAGCCGCGUUUCCCUGCAUAACUCCUACUCAUCCUUCAGAUCCACCUUUGACAUCACCUCCUCUAGGAAGCCUUCCUCACCUCUCCAAGGCUGGCAUGCCCAGAGCCUUUCCCUCACAUUGCACUUAACACAUUGCCUUCUACCCCCCGUUUCCACCUCUGUGAGCCUGUGAGCAUCUGAAGGGCAGAGAAUGAUUUAUUCCUUUGUGAGCCACCAGCCCCUAGAACAAUGCCAGAGGCUGCUAUGAAAAUAAACGUUCAUGGCACGGUUGUGCCAGUGGUGUGACUGGCUGUGUCCUGCUCUUGUCCUCCAUUCAGCCACCACUUACUGAGCUCUGACCCUGUACUGAAGGUAUAGCUCUCAGCCUUUCAUCUCUUG
ensembl:lncRNA